UACGUAGGGGGCUAGCGUUGUCCGGAAUCAUUGGGCGUAAAGAGCGCGUAGGCGGCUGGAAUAGUCCGGUGUGAAAUCCACAGGCUUAACCUGUGAAUGCCGCUGGAAACUGUCUGGCUAGAGUCCGGAAGGGGCGAGUGGAAUUCCUGGUGUAGCGGUGAAAUGCGCAGAUAUUAGGAGGAACACCAAUGGCGAAGGCAGCUCGCUGGGACGGUACUGACGCUGAGGCGCGAAAGCGUGGGGAGCGAACAGG
rnacentral:rRNA from 1 species